UCUGACACAGGUGCUGCAUGGCUGUCGUCAGCUCGUGUCGUGAGAUGUUGGGUUAAGUCCCGUAACGAGCGCAACCCUUGUCCUUAGUUACCAGCACGUUAUGGUGGGCACUCUAAGGAGACUGCCGGUGACAAACCGGAGGAAGGUGGGGAGUGACGUCAAGUCAUCAUGGCCCUUACGGCCUGGGCUACACACGUGCUACAAUGGUCGGUACAAAGGGUUGCCAAGCCGCGAGGUGGAGCUAAUCCCAUAAAAACCGAUCGUAGUCCGGAUCGCAGUCUGCAACUCGACUGCGUGAAGUCGGAAUCGCUAGUAAUCGUGAAUCAGAAUGUCACGGUGAAUACGUUCCCGGGCCUU
rnacentral:rRNA from 1 species